UGCGCAGCUUAGGUGGAAGGC
rnacentral:siRNA from 1 species